ACGGAAUAAUUUAUCCGAAACCUUUAUAUCGCAGCAUUUCAACAUGGAAUAUUCCAAUCCUGAACAGUUUAACUCUAGACCAUGUGACACCACCUGGAUCUUAUGUUCUUUCCUGCUCCAAGACUCUUGUCUUUGCAACACUUUUGGUCUCGACCGCUUUAAAAACAGACAAACGCCACAUCUUACAAAAAGCGAUAAACAAGUUUUUUUAAACUUUACGAGAAAGCUCUUUAGCAUUUUGCAUUAAAAGAAUGCUUUCAUGUGAUAAUGCCGGGGAAGGUUUUCCGGUUUAUCCCGGAGGGCUUGUAGCUCAGUUGGUUAGAGCGCGCGCUUGAUAAGCGUGAGGUCGGAGGUUCAAGUCCUCCCAGGCCCACCAAUUAUCCAUCCAUAGAAAAGCGCUUAGGAAGCUUGAAAAG
rnacentral:misc_RNA from 1 species